rnacentral:lncRNA from 10 species
AAUCUUUAGUGUUGUGAGCCCUUAAAAGGGACAGAAAUUUUGCACUCGGGGAGCUCAGAUUUUAAGACAGUAGCUUGCUGAUGCUCCCAGCUGAAUAAAGCCCUUCCUUCUACAACUCGGUGUCUGAGGGGUUUUGUCUGCAGCUCGUCCUGCUACAAUGGUGGUUCCUUUAUAGGAUAUUCAUGAUUCCCUACCUUGAAUCAAUGCCGCCAUCUUCCUUUUAACUCAGGGACUAUGAGAUACACAGGUCUUCAAUGCCAGUCACCUCAUGGACUCACCACCUAGUUUAUCAAGGAGAAGUUGAUGCUGGGAGCAACUACAAAAAUGAAGCUACUCUGAUUUAGCCAAAAAGAUUCUCCAUUCUAAGGACUCCUGUGAUUUGAUUGGGAGCCUCUACAUCAUUCAGGAGAAUCCUCUGACCUCAAGUUCUGUAACCUGAAUCACAUCAUAAGACUUCAGCUGGCAGAGCAACACAAGCAGCUGAAUAUCAAGAGGUGAAGAAGCAACUGGGCAUCUGAGACUAUGGAUAGAUGCGACUUAACUUCAGACGGCACAACUUUGGAGAGGAGCCCAGAUGGAGACGACCAGGCUUCAAGGAAAGAUCACCUUCUUCUUGCACCCCCCUUUCAGCUCCCCUUCUGCUGAGAGCUACUUCCACUGCCUAAUAAAAUCCUCUGCAUCAUCACCUUUCAAACCAUUCGUGCGACCUGAUUCUUCCUGGAUGCCGAACAAGAACCUGGGAACCAAGAGGGCAGAGUAUUAGGCUGUCACCCUGACUCUCCACUAAGCUGGUUAACACUUAGCUGCCAUGGACAGCAACUCCUAAAAGAGCAUUAAUUUUAUCACACCCCUAGACGCUGCCAGGGGGCUGGAGCCCAAAAGCAUUUGCCCCAGCUCCAACACCCACUUGCCUGUGUGCUCCCUCCCGUGAGGGGUUGAGCCCAGUGGGUUUGAGUGAGUGAAGUUCAUCCCUGUUGGCAGCAAAGUGGCAGGCUGAACCCAGAGCCAGUGCACUCUAGUUCCCAUCUGCAAAAGGGUCAAAGGAACUCUCCUGUCUCAACAACAUAUUACUGACUAACACAAGCAUCUUAUGCCUGGUAGCAUCAAAUUAAGCAAAGGGUAGCCCGAAUGCCAUGUCUUCACAUUUUAUUCCACUUGGAUCUCCUGUAGAAUGGCUGUUUACCAUGGAAGGGCUGAUUCCAAUUCUCACGUUAAUCACUUACAAGGCAGAAACCAGCUAGUCUAGACUGGUAAAGGGCUUUCCAGUUCAUUCAUCAGCCUCCUCUGAUUCUCUCAGGGCUCAUUCAGAUGUUCCCAAUCCUUUCACAAGAUUACAAUUCAACACAUAUGGAAGCACAAAAAAAAAUGCUGAUUUCCCCACAUAAAUAAUAAUUAAUUACUAAUGAAGAUAAUGGUGACAGACUAUGGGACUUAAGAAAAAACCUACGAGGAUGUAUCACAAGACAAAUCCUUCUAAAAAUUAAACUAUUUGCAGACAAUCAGAAAGUCAAAACUAACAAUCUCUUAAACAUUUCUCAGAUAUGGCUGUAAUAACAUAGCAUUCCUAUAAAAAUGAACUUUUAGGUUAAAUAUAUCUUUACACAUACAUGCACUUGCACCCACAUGUACACACAAUCUAUUUUUGGAUCUACUGAAUAAAGCAUCAUUAUUUAAAGUGAAGCAAUAAAAGUUUCAACGUCUUUUUUUCUAAGUAUUAGCCUUGAAGUUAUUCACCCUAACCAAA